rnacentral:rRNA from 1 species
CACGAAACUGUAUGAGCUAACUGAAAUUGAAACUAUGUUGCAAAAUAGAUAAGGAAUUAUAGUUAGGGGUGAAAGGCCUUUCAAACACAGUGAUAUCUUGAUUUUCCCGAAAAGUAUUGAGUACAUUGAACAAUUUAGAGCGAUAAGGUUUUAAAUAAUUAUUAAGUAUAAUUAAUUAGGUAUAUUGAUAUAAAAGUCUAUAAGAAAGUAAAAUAAUAUUUAUUAUUUUAAAUUAUAAUAUGCAGGGAAAUAUUUAUUAAUUUAACUUCAAAUUGAUAAUGUUAAUAUUAGUAAUUAAGGUACCAAUAGUGAACUCGGCAUUAAGCUUUCAACUGUUUAUCAAAAACAUAGCUGUGUGUAGUAUACGCAGUGAUUUCUGCUCAAUGAAACAUUUAAAUAGCCGCAGUACUCUGACUGUGCAAAGGUAGCGUAAUCAAUUGUCUUCUAAUUAAAGACGAGUAUGAAGGAAUACAUGGGGGCUUUCUUUACCAUUGGUAAUAGUAGAAUUUACUUAUCGAGUGAAAAUACUCGUAAAUAAAUAAUAGACGAGAAGACCCUUGAAAUUUUGAGCAUUUUUUUGUUGGGGCAACAUAGUAGCAGAUAACCUACUGAAAUUAACUAGAAAUUAUGUAGUGUGAUUAAAUUACUCUAGGGAUAACAGCAUAAUAUAAAAUUGUUUGUGACCUCGAUGUUGGAUUAGGGAAUUGUCGCUUAGAA